CAAUAGCGUAUAUUAAAGUUGUUGCAGUUAAAAAGCUCGUAGUUGGAUUUCUGAUCGAGACAUCAGGUCGGGUCCGAGAGGAUCAUGUACUUUGAUUUUGUUUUGAUCAUCCUUGGGGAGAGCAUUUCUGGCAUUCAGUUGUCGGGAUUGGGAUCCUCAUCGUUUACUGUGAAAAAAUUAGAGUGUUCAAAGCAGGCCUCGGCCUCUGAAUACAUUAGCAUGGAAUAAUAAGAUAGGACUUUGGUGGUCUAUUUUGUUGGUUUGCACGCCAAAGUAAUGAUUAAUAGGGAUAGUUGGGGGUAUUCGUAUUCAAUUGUCAGAGGUGAAAUUCUUGGAUUUAUGGAAGACGAGCUACUGCGAAAGCAUUUACCAAGGAUGUUUUCAUUAA
rnacentral:rRNA from 1 species